UUUCCGCGCGUACGCGUGUCCCGGUGUCCAACAUCGACAUUUCAUUUAUUAUAUUUUAUUAACGCAGCGUCCGAUUUACGUAUACGAAGAUAUCGCAUCGCGUUUAAUAAAACAUACCUUUAUACCGAUAUAUCGCGCAUGUCUUGCCAUGCUAUAUUGUCCGCGUACCAUCCAAAUAAAAUAAUAUUUUAAUCAUAUUUAUCCGUACGAUUGCCGUUAUGUCAUAAUAAUACGAUGAAGUUUUGAUGGAGCUAGGACGUCGGUGGCGGCAGCCCUACAAAUAUAAUAGUCAUCCGUCGCGGUUUACAAACAACCGUUUCGGUUCGACAUAUCGGUUUCAACAAUAAUAAUAAAAUACGCAAUUUCAAUAAUUACGCGGACGCGAGACCCUAUAUACACUCUACGCCAGAAAACAAUACUCAUAUAAUAAGAUAUAUCUGUGUAUGAUAUUACCUAACAUUAAGACACCGCAGCUUCCACCGUGUUCAUAAUCCUCUCGGCUACUGGACCACAACGAAACGUAUUUAAGGACCCGCCUCCCACAGUACUGAGCAGCAGUAGUAUUAUAAUAUUGACAUUAUAAAUGUGGCGCCAAUCAAACAUCAGUUGAUCGCAGCUAUAGUAGUACUGGUACUGUUCAUACUGAAGAUAGUUAAUAAAUAUUUCGCAUUUCUAAAUGGAUGGAGCUCAGAGAAAUUUCAGUAUGAUGGCCGAGAAAAUCGAUAGAAUGCGAUGUUUAAGGGAACGAUGCGACAAUUAUGUCAGACUAAUAAAACUAACACUUGAUGAAACAAUCAAAGAACAAAAUUCGCUUUUGGAUGGAUCAGCAAUUCAUAAUAGACUAAAAUACUUAGGCGUAUUAGAUAAACCUAAAUCAUUAUCAAACACAUUCAAUACUGAUAAAUAUCAUAAGAAUAUAGAUUAUAAUCAAUUUACAAGACUAAUAAGAUUAGUUAUAUAUUACAAUAUUAGUGUUGCAUAGGGAUAUUGCACUAUGUUGAAAUGUUGGGAUUUACAUGAUGACAAGACACUGAAUGUCUGUAUAUUGAUGCAAAGUAUUAUACAUACAUAUUAUUAUACAUUUAUAGGUAUUUUUGUAGUAUGUGGUCUACCAUACACUUGUUGUCUACCACGGAUAUACUGAGUCAUUCCUAUCUAGUCGACACUGGCUACGAUAAUAAACUUAAUCUUAAUCAAAGUUUCUAUUAAAUAUGUUAAUUUCUUGCCAAAAAUUUAAAUAGAAUUAUUCAGUCAGAGGUAAAUACUUUUAUACAUUUUUAAAGAAAAAUUGACUUAUUCAAAUUGAUACUCAUAUUUCUUAGCAGAAUGAUGGUGGAACAAUUAUAAAGACAACUCAUUUGAAUGUUUUAUAUGAGACAUCAAAUCAUAAUAAAUAUUUUAUAGUAAAUAUUUGUAUAGAUAUUUAUAAUAUACUAUAUACCUAUACGUAUUGCUUUUUUAAUUUAAUAUAAAAAACAUAUGGAAUAGCAUAUACGACAAGAAUACCCAUUUAUACAUGAUUUAAUUACUAUAUUAGUUAUCCAAUGAAGGAUAUUUCUGGGUAUAUUAUCCCAUAUGGAUAUAUUCUUUUCCGUAAUUGAAGAUCUAGACUAUUGCAAAUAGAUUAUUCAAUUAUUCAAUUAUUGGUAUACUAAAAAUAGUUGACACUGUUCUUAACAUAAUAUGAAAAUGACGUCGGAGGCAGUUGCCCCCUUUGCCACCCGUUAGACACGGCAUUGAUCGUUUAUAUUAUUAUAUUAUAUAAUAAUUAAUAAUAUAUAAUCAAUAGAGAACGGAUUUUAAUUUAAAUAAAUAUUUUUUAUAUCAUUUUAAUAUCGGAGAGUUUUUAACAUAUUAUGUGUACCUACGUUUCAUUUAAUUUUGAAUAAGCUGAUGCUAAUUUUAUUUUAAAUAUAUUCAAAUAUUUUAGAAUAAUUAAAUAUUUUAUAAAUAAAUAUACGUAAUCUGUAUUAUUGUAGAAUUUCCUAAAGAAAUUGGAGUUUUAACCAAUUCUAAAUUACAAAACCUAUUGUAAAAAAAAACCCCAGGAUUUAACGCCGCAAUGUCGAUAAGGGAUAUACUAUUAAGUAAAACUCCAAAAAACAAUUUAGAAAUAUAAUACAAUCUAAAAGAAUUCACGUGUAUGGGUGUAUCGUGUAUGAAAUAUGCACCUAUCACUUCUGUUGAUGUGGAGAGUUUAUUUAGCAUUUUAGCCAUUAUGAAGCAAUAUUAAGAUUUUUAAAUUUGAAAAUCUCAAA